GCUCCUGUGGCCUAAGUGGUAAGAGCGUCCGCUUCGGAUGCGGAAGAUCGCGGGUUCGAACUCCGGCUGAGUCA